GUUUUUAUAGUGUAACAAACACGUUACAUUUUCGUUGUAAAACUGAAACAUCCAAGUUUCUAAAAACU
rnacentral:tRNA from 1 species